UACGUAGGGUGCGAGCGUUGUCCGGAAUUAUUGGGCGUAAAGAGCUUGUAGGCGGUUUGUCGCGUCUGCCGUGAAAAUUCGAGGCUCAACCUCGAACUUGCGGUGGGUACGGGCAGACUAGAGUGCGGGAGAGGCGAGUGGAAUUCCUGGUGCAGCGGUGAAAUGCGCAGAUAUCAGGAAGAACACCAAUUGCGAAGGCAGCUCGCUGGAACGUAACUGACGCUGAGACGCGAAAGCGUGGGGAGCAAACAGG
rnacentral:rRNA from 1 species